GGCGCCGUAGCCAAGUGGUAAGGCUCGGGACUGCAAAUCCCGCAUCGUCGGUUCGAUUCCGACCGGCGCCU
rnacentral:tRNA from 1 species